rnacentral:rRNA from 1 species
UACGAAGGGUGCUAGCGUUGUUCGGAAUUACUGGGCGUAAAGCGCGCGUAGGCGGCUUUGCAAGUCAGGGGUGAAAUCCCACGGCUCAACCGUGGAAUUGCCUUUGAAACUGCAAAGCUGGAGUAUCGGAGGGGAGUGCGGAAUUGCUAAUGUAGAGGUGAAAUUCGUAGAUAUUAGCAGGAACACCGGUGGCGAAGGCGGCACUCUGGACGAUAACUGACGCUGAGGCGCGAAAGCGCGGGGAUCAAACAGG